rnacentral:rRNA from 1 species
UUAAAGAGUUCUAUAACUCCCAAACCCAUGUGAACAUACCUAACGUUGCCUCGGCAGGUCGCACCUACCUUGUAGCACCUUACCCUGUAAGGCCUACCCGGGAGGUGCGGGUAAGCCUGCCGGCGGCCCACCAAACUCUGUUUGAUAUUGAAUUCUGAACCUAUAACUAAAUAAGUUAAAACUUUCAACAACGGAUCUCUUGGUUCUGGCAUCGAUGAAGAACGCAGCGAAAUGCGAUAAGUAAUGUGAAUUGCAGAAUUCAGUGAAUCAUCGAAUCUUUGAACGCAUAUUGCGCCCAUUAGUAUUCUAGUGGGCAGGACCGUUCGAGCGUCAUUUCAACCCUUAAGCCUUCGUUGCUUAGUGUUGGGAGCCUACGGCAACGUAGCUCCUCAAAGUUAGUGGCGGAGUUGGUUCACACUCUAGACGUAGUAAUUUUUUAUCUCGCCUAUUAGUUGAACUAAUACCCUGCCGUAAAACCCCCAAUUUAUCAAGGUUGACCUCGAAUCGGUUCAGACAAACUCGCUAAAUUGAAGCAUCUUAGUCAGCGAAGGAAAAGAAACCAACAGGGAUUGCCCUAGUAACGGCGAGUGAAGCGGCAACAGCUCAAAUUUGAAAUCUGGCCCUCGGGUCCGAGUUGUAAUUUGUAGAGGAUGCUUUUGGCGCGGUGCCUUCCGAGUUCCCUGGAACGGGACGCCUUAGAGGGUGAGAGCCCCGUACGGUUGGACACCAAGCCUCUGUAAAGCUCCUUCGACGAGUCGAGUAGCUUGGGAAUGCUGCUCUAAAUGGGAGGUAAAUUUCUUCUAAAGCUAAAUAUUGGCCAGAGACCGAUAGCGCACAAGUAGAGUGAUCGAAAGA